rnacentral:rRNA from 1 species
UUAAAUGGCAAAACAGCCAAAAAUGGCUAAGCAGGGUUUAGUCUGGUCAGUACCUGGAUGGGAGACCUCCUGGGAAAACUAGGUUGCUGCUGGAA